rnacentral:lncRNA from 1 species
AUGGUUAUUAAAGCUGCCGUGACCAAAGACUCAUCCCUUGUUCUCUCCGACCCUCGUCCUCUCGCCUUCAAGUCCACUGCAGACCUUUCUUCUUUCCAUCCACCUGGAGUCUCCCUCUGCCCGGCACGCCUGAAGCCUCCACCGCAGCCAGCAGCUGAACCAACGUGGACAUCGUCACGGAGAACGGGCCUGAUCACCCAUCUACUUCUAGCCACCUGGCAGAAAACCGCCAGCUUGACCGCCUCACCCGCUGCUGUCUCAGGGAGGCACAUCCCAGUUGCCCACAUGCAAGGAGGCUGUCAAACAGAGAAAUCACUGCAGACUGUUGGUACACGGACAUCUGUUGCCCAGCUCAGGAGUAAAGUACCUUUUUGUUUUGAUGAGGUGAUGGUGAGGACAGCCACAGCUUCCAUCUUGUAGAGGACUGCUUCUGCUCAGUCUUCCAAAUAGUGAUGAGAACAAGGAUCACCACAUCUCCGUUUUCCCUACUUUCAUGCAUUUCGUCUGCAAGGCCCUGCAAAAGCUUCUGUCCUCAAACCCCCAGACUUCUUAAUUAACUCAGUAACCUAUACAUUGCACAUUGGAGUGUGAAGGUAACAGUUUGUUCUAGCUUUGAAGUAGUGGUGCAUUUUUUUGGUUGACAAUAAAGUUGGCUUUAACUAUUACGUAUUUCA